CCUGGGACUGGGGCUGCGACGGCGGCGGCGGCGGCGCGCUGGGGCUGCUGUACUCGGGGUAGCUGCCGCCGUAGCUCCGCAUCAUGGGGCUGGGCGAGGGCAGUGUGAGCUGAUAAUAGAUCCCAAACUAAAAAGCAAAAAACAUGAUGAACAUCUUUCCAUCUAGUUGUCGUAUCUCUAGGACUAAAUGUAUGACGCACCUGGCAACAACACCAACGUCUAAAGAGACCUGAGCUGUCAUUCACAGGUGCUGAGAGGGAGCAGGAGAAGCAAUCAGAAGCUGAAAUGCCCAGGCCUGGGCAGUGUCCUUGUUUUGCAUCGUGACUUGGCUGCUUCCUGCCACCUUCACACAGAUUCCCUUGGAAGUCAGUACAUCCACACACCCAAGCGGAGCUUCAUGGCAGCUCGGCUACUGGCUACCUCCUGACUUCGUGUAUAAGAAAGAAGAAUAAACUUCUGUCUUGUUUAAGCUACUGCUAUUUUUUGCUUUGUUUUGGUUUUUUCCCCCCUUUUCUCUCUUUUUUUAGUAGAAGAUCACAUCUAAACCCAACUGAUAUAAUGCAUUAUGGUUUCUCACAUAAUCCUCACAACAACCCUUUGAAGAGUUUGUAAACGUCCCAAACCUUGGUUUCCUCCUGUAUAACACACAGAUGGCAGUAGUACUUACUUCCCUGGCCUUCUGAGGAUGCAGUGAAAUAAUGCCUUCAAAGUUCUGAGCACAGCACCUGGCAUGCCGGAAGUGUUUGAUAACUGUACUUUAUUAAGGUACUUUUCAUCUCUCUAGCUGGAUGAUCAAUUUCUCAAGGAAAAAGUCCCUGUCUUCAGUUUCUCUUAUAUUGUCUACCACACUCAGAACAUUCCUGAACCCACAGUGGGCUCCCAAUUGUUAACAUAAUUUUAUGGCUGAA